UAACCCUUAACCUUAACCCCUACCCUAAAGCCUACCCUAACCCUUAACCUUAACCCCUACCCUAACCUUAACAGCUACUCUAACCUUAACACCUACCCUGCAUCCUAACCUUAACACCUACCCUAAACCCUAACCGUAACCAUUUAAAAUGUCAACUUUUAGGGCCAUCCCAAGGAUCCCGGAUAGCAAGGACCGACUGGAGAGGAAGAGGCAAAGGUAGAGGAUUUACACUGGCUACAGGCCGAUAAAUGUCUGUCCAGCCUUCUUCAAAUCAACACGCCUACAGUAUAAUGAAGAUGACUGAGAACACAGAGGGGAAAGAGGGACACUCCUUCCUCACUAAAGAAGGAACCCCUACACUGUCCUCACUAAAGAAGGAACCCCUGCACUCUGUCCUCACUAAAGAAGGAACCCCUGUACUCUGUCCUCACUAAAGAAGGAACCCCUACACUCUGUCCUCACUAAAGAAGGAACCCCUACACUCUGUCCUCACUAAAGAAGGAACCCCUACACUCUGUCCUCACUAAAGAAGGAACCCCUACACUCUGUCCUCACUAAAGAAGGAACCCCUACACUCUGUCCUCACUAAAGAAGGAACCCCUACACUCUGUCCUCACUAAAGAAGGAACCCCUACACUCUGUCCUCACUAAAGAAGGAACCCCUACACUCUGUCCUCACUAAAGAAGGAACCCCUACACUCUGUCCUCACUAAAGAAGGAACCCCUGUACUCUGUCCUCACUAAAGAAGGAACCCCUACACUCUGUCCUCACUAAAGAAGGAACCCCUACACUCUGUCCUCACUAAAGAAGGAACCCCUACACUCUGUCCUCACUAAAGAAGGAACCCCUACACUCUGUCCUCACUAAAGAAGGAACCCCUACACUCUGUCCUCACUAAAGAAGGAACCCCUGUACUCUGUCCUCACUAAAGAAGGAACCCCUACACUCUGUCCCCACUAAAGAAGGAACCCCUACACUCUGUCCUCACUAAAGAAGGAACCCCUACACUCUGUCCUCACUAAAGAAGGAACCCCUACACUCUGUCCUCACUAAAGAAGGAACCCCUACACUCUGUCCUCACUAAAGAAGGAACCCCCUACACUCUGUCCUCACUAAAGAAGGAACCCCCUACACUCUGUCCUCACUAAAGAAGGAACCCCUGCACUCUGUCCUCACUAAAGAAGGAACCCCUACACUCUGUCCUCACUAAAGAAGGAACCCCUACACUCUGUCCUCACUAAAGAAGGAACCCCUACACUCUGUCCUCACUAAAGAAGGAACCCCUACACUCUGUCCUCACUAAAGAAGGAACCCCUACACUCUGUCCUCACUAAAGAAGGAACCCCUGCACUCUGUCCUCACUAAAGAAGGAACCCCCUACACUCUGUCCUCACUAAAGAAGGAACCCCCUACACUCUGUCCUCACUAAAGAAGGAACCCCCUACACUCUGUCCUCACUAAAGAAGGAACCCCUACACUCUGUCCUCACUAAAGAAGGAACCCCUACACUCUGUCCUCACUAAAGAAGGAACCCCUACACUCUGUCCUCACUAAAGAAGGAACCCCUGCACUCUGUCCUCACUAAAGAAGGAACCCCUGCACUCUGUCCUCACUAAAGAAGGAACCCCUGCACUCUGUCCUCACUAAAGAAGGAACCCCUACACUCUGUCCUCACUAAAGAAGGAACCCCCUACACUCUGUCCUCACUAAAGAAGGAACCCCCUACACUCUGUCCUCACUAAAGAAGGAACCCCUACACUCUGUCCUCACUAAAGAAGGAACCCCUACACUCUGUCCUCACUAAAGAAGGAACCCCUGCACUCUGUCCUCACUAAAGAAGGAACCCCUACACUCUGUCCUCACUAAAGAAGGAACCCCUACACCCUGUCCUCACUAAAGAAGGAACCCCUACACCCUGUCCUCACUAAAGAAGGAACCCCUACACUCUGCCCUCACUAAAGAAGGAACCCCUACACUCUGUCCUCACUAAAGAAGGAACCCCUACACUCUGUCCUCACUAAAGAAGGAACCCCUACACUCUGUCCUCACUAAAGAAGGAACCCCUACACUCUGUCCUCACUAAAGAAGGAACCCCCUACACUCUGUCCUCACUAAA